AAAGAUCAGCUACGGAUAUCACAAGCAUUUAUCGACACACCCCCAUCCCUCACAAAUCUGUCAAAAUUGAAGGCAUUAAGCGAGGGUUUAGCGACAGAUGGAAGAAUUGUCCAUUUUUUCCAGAUGGAACGUGUUUAGCGAGAGAACACCGGUGGAAAUUAUAUUUGGGGGACGCACAUUUUGUUUUAGUAUCGCCGAUCUCUCGCUAGAAUUGGCGCAACCCAAUUCUAGUUUCACGAAAUUGCUUAAGUUUCCUUCCCUCCCAAAUCAGCUUUAUCACUAUAGAGUAAGUUCCCUUCGUUAUGUUAACCUAAUCUCACCCUCUCCGUUCAAACAGAGAUGACGACACCACUCACCAUUGCUGCUUUCGAUUCCGGCAACCGCCACACCCCAGCAUAAAAUCUAUAAAAUCUAAAAGUAGUUCGUUACCUUCUGACUCAGCUUUAAAGGUACAUCUUCAUUAGACAGAGACACGUAAUGAUCUUGAGCUUGGAGGCUGCAGAUGUGAGUUUUUUCAGAGUUCUCUCUCAGGU